rnacentral:lncRNA from 1 species
UUUUUCAAAUAUUUAUAAUUUGAAUAGGAUUUUACUGAGGAAUGUGAUUUCAGAUAGGGUGUGAUUUGGGAGUUUGUGUGUUGUUUGAGAAUGAGAGUUGUGGGUAUAUUUAUAGGAAAGCAAGGCUCGUUAAUUCCACGUAAGCAAAAUCGUCGCUAAUACCUUGUAUAUAAAAACACGGGCCUUUGCGAUUCCUCGUAAUUUCCUCGUAUUGAAAAACACGGGCCUUUGUAACUGCUCGCUAUUUCGUCGUAAACUUACGACGAAUUUGCGACGAUAUGUAAUCUUAUAUAUACCCCCGAGCGCUCACUCUUUCUUUCCUCUCUACUUCCUCUCCACCUCCUCUCUAUUUCGUAGCAAUGGUAAGUCUCUCUAAUUCCUCUCUAAUUUGGUUAGUUUAGGAUAGAUUAGGUGGUUAGUAUAGGGAAUUUAGAUAGGUUUACGGAUUUUAGAUAGGUUUACGAGUUGGCCGCGACAAAAUCUCGUAUGGGUGGAGUCGAGG